GCUUGCUUAAAACAGCAGCCACCUGAUAGUCCUGAGAAAUGAAAAGGUGGUGGAAGGAACUUGCAUCUCUGUACUUCUAGAGCUCUACAAUUCAGACUGAUGUUCAGAUCUAUUUUGAAGGAAUUGGAGUACAAGUCCUACAAGUUACCUUGUAUCAGCAAAGAAAAAAGGAUCCCAGUGGAACACUGCUGAAAUCUGAUUAGCAAGAGAUGCCAAGUACCAACAGAAAGAAAUUCUCUGAUCAGCAAGAGACUCUUGCCAAAUCGAAGCCCAGAGCAGCCAAAGCAGAAAGAAAGGCUGGAAAUAAGGACAACAGAGCAGGUCCUAUUGCCAGACAUGGCUUUGGUUUAUUUCAAAACAGUUCAGUAUUUGAGGAGCCCAGUGUUCAUCUUCAUACACAUAGAUUCGUAGUCACCACAGUAGCUCUCUGGUAUUGAUAUGUAUCUGUGCCAGUCUCCCACAACUUUUAAUGACAUAAUAGCAACAGCACUUAGACUUAUAUACUGCUUCACAAUGCUUUACGGCCCUCUCUAAGCAGUUUACAUAGUCGGCAUAUUUCCCCCAACAAUCUGUGUCCUCAUUUUACUGACCUUGGAAGGAUGGAAGGCUGAGUCAACCUUGAACUAUUCAGGAUCGAACUCCUGGGCAGAGUCAGCCUGCAAUACUUCAUUUAAUCACUGAAGCACCACGGCUCAUGAAAUCUCUAACAACCACCAUUCCGUGAACUGACCCUGGUCUGUCUCUUGGCUUUCAUUGUGGAAUUUCUUUCCUUGAGAAGUUUAAAAUAGUGAAUGAAAAAACUAAAUAUAAGUAGUGCUUUUCAGGACUGGGGGGAGGACUAACAGUACAGCUGGUUUGAAUAAAAAGCAAUGCCUCUGUUUUUGUAGCUUUAGUUUAAAUUGGGAAGUUUAAGGAGGAAAGCUAUGGCAAAUCUAGACAGCAUACUAAGAAGCAGAGACAUCACCCUGCCAACAAAAGUGUGUAUAGUCAAGGCUAUGGUAUUCCCAAUUGCAAUGCAUGGCUGUGAAAAUUGAACCAUAAGAAAGGCUGAGUGCCAAAGAAUUGAGGCCUUUGAACUCUGGUGCUGGAGAAGACUCCUGCGAGUCCCUGGGACUGCAAGGCGAUCAAAUUGGUCAGUCCUAGAGGAGAUCAACCCUGACUGCUCUUUAGAAGGCCAGAUCCUGAAGAUGAAACUCAAAUACUUUGGCCACCUAAUGAGAAGGAAGGACUCACUGGAGAAGUGCCUAAUGCUGGGAAAGAUCGAGGGCAAAAGAAGAAAGGGACGACAGAGAACGAGGUGGCUGAAUGGAGCCACUGAAGCAGUAGGAGUGAGCUUAAAUGGACUCCAGAGGAUGGUAAGAGGACAGGAAGGCCUGGAGGAACAUUGUACAUGGGGUUGCAAUGGGUCAGACACGACUUUGCAACUAACAACAAAAUAAUUCUUUCAAUUAAUUAUUACCUGUAUUUACUUAUCCACAUAAUCACCACCAUUUGCUACAUAUAUGUGUUGAUGAUGUACAAGCUUUUUAAAGCUAUCAUCAAAGAGCUUCACACUUUGCCUCUUCAACCAGGACCUGAUACUUCAUUUCACCUCUUCAUUGGAGUGAAAGAGAUGUUCACAAAGGCAUUCCUUCAAUUUUAGGAAAAGAUGGAAUCCCCAUGAUGCCAGGUCUAGACUGUAUGGCAUAUGGACUAAGUUGGUGAAUUUAAAUUUAAACAAUUGCCUCUUGGAUAGCUUGUGAGCUGUGAGGUCUAUCAAUGUCAAGUUACAGCAAAAUUUCUUUCCUGGGCUUCCAAACUUUGCUUAAUCAUUCUUUCAAAUUUUGGGGACCAAAUGUACUUGAAGAUUUUUUUGUCAUCUUAAUGUUCUCUGGGAUGCCCUUCUCAAUUAAAUUUUAUCAAAUGCUUGCAUUUUUUCCCAGUAUUGAUUUUUUUUA